rnacentral:rRNA from 1 species
UGGGGGAUAUUGCACAAUGGGCGAAAGCCUGAUGCAGCGACGCCGCGUGGGGGAUGAAAGCCUUCGGGUUGUAAACUUCUUUUGCUCUGAACAAGGCAUGCCUUUGGGGUGUGUUGAGUGUAGGGGUUGAUUAGCGCCGGCUAACUACGUGCCAGCAGCCGCGGUAAUACGUAGGGCGCGAGCGUUGUCCGGAAUUAUUGGGCGUAAAGGGCUUGUAGGUGGCUGGUUGCGUCUGUCGUGAAAGCUCAUGGCUUAACUGUGGGUUUGCGGUGGGUACGGGCUGGCUUGAGUGCAGUAGGGGAGGCUGGAAUUCCUGGUGUAGCGGUGGAAUGCGCAGAUAUCAGGAGGAAUACCGGUGGCGAAGGCGGGUCUCUGGGCUGUUACUGACGCUGAGGAGCGAAAGCGUGGGGAGCGAACAGG